ACGGGUGAGUAAUACGUAGGAAUCUGCCCUAAAGUGGGGGAUAACCCGGGGAAACUCGGGCUAAUACCGCAUAAUCUUUUCGAAGUAAAGCAGGGGACCGCAAGGCCUUGUGCUUUAGGAUGAGCCUACGUCGGAUUAGCUAGUUGGUAGGGUAAAGGCCUACCAAGGCGACGAUCCGUAACUGGUCUGAGAGGACGAUCAGUCACACUGGAACUGAGACACGGUCCAGACUCCUACGGGAGGCAGCAGUGGGGAAUAUUGGACAAUGGGGGCAACCCUGAUCCAGCAAUGCCGCGUGUGCGAUGAAGGCCUGCGGGUUGUAAAGCACUUUCGGUGGGGAAGAAAUGCUCAAAGAUAAUCUCUUUGAGAGCUGACGUUACCCACAGAAGAAGCACCGGCAAACUCUGUGCCAGCAGCCGCGGUAAUACAGAGGGUGCAAGCGUUAAUCGGAGUUACUGGGCGUAAAGGGCGCGUAGGCGGGUAUUUAAGUCGGAUGUGAAAUCCCUGGGCUUAACCUAGGAAUUGCAUUCGAUACUGAAUAUUCUUGAGUAUGGUAGAGGAAAGUGGAAUUUUCGGU
rnacentral:rRNA from 1 species